AUCCAGCUGACUAGUCCAAAACAAGACGAAACGCGCGUUCUGGAU
rnacentral:hammerhead_ribozyme from 1 species